rnacentral:rRNA from 1 species
CGGAACGGGUGAGUAACACGUGGGCAACCUGCCCAAAAGAGGGGGAUAACACUUGGAAACAGGCGCUAAUACCGCAUAACCAUAGUUACCGCAUGGUAACUAUGUAAAAGGUGGCUAUGCUACCGCUUUUGGAUGGGCCCGCGGCGCAUUAGCUAGUUGGUGGGGUAAAGGCUUACCAAGGCAAUGAUGCGUAGCCGAACUGAGAGGUUGAUCGGCCACAUUGGGACUGAGACACGGCCCAAACUCCUACGGGAGGCAGCAG